rnacentral:rRNA from 1 species
GGGGGUGCUUGCACCCCGCUGACGAGCGGCGGACGGGUGAGUAAUGCAUAGGAAAUUGCCCAGUAGUGGGGGAUAGCCCGGGGAAACCCGGAUUAAUACCGCAUACGUCCUUCGGGAGAAAGCAGGGGAUCUUCGGACCUUGCGCUAUUGGAUGUGCCUAUGUCGGAUUAGCUAGUUGGUGGGGUAAAGGCCUACCAAGGCGACGAUCCGUAGCUGGUCUGAGAGGAUGAUCAGCCACAUCGGGACUGAGACACGGCCCGAACUCCUACGGGAGGCAGCAGUGGGGAAUAUUGGACAAUGGGGGCAACCCUGAUCCAGCCAUGCCGCGUGUGUGAAGAAGGCUUUCGGGUUGUAAAGCACUUUCAGUGAGGAGGAAAACCUUAUGGUUAAUACCCAUGAGGCUUGACGUUACUCACAGAAGAAGCACCGGCUAACUCCGUGCCAGCAGCCGCGGUAAUACGGAGGGUGCAAGCGUUAAUCGGAAUUACUGGGCGUAAAGCGCGCGUAGGUGGUUUGAUAAGCGAGAUGUGAAAGCCCCGGGCUUAACCUGGGAACGGCAUUUCGAACUGUCAGGCUAGAGUAUGGUAGAGGGUAGUGGAAUUUCCUGUGUAGCGGUGAAAUGCGUAGAUAUAGGAAGGAACACCAGUGGCGAAGGCGGCUACCUGGACCAAUACUGACACUGAGGUGCGAAAGCGUGGGGAGCAAACAGGGAUUAGAUACCCUGGUAGUCCACGCCGUAAACGAUGUCAACUA